rnacentral:rRNA from 1 species
AGAAUGAACGCUGGCGGCAUGCCUAACACAUGCAAGUCGAACGUGCACCUUCGGGUGUGCGUGGCGCACGGGUGCGUAACGCGUGGGAAUCUGCCCUUGGGUUCGGAAUAACAGUGAGAAAUUACUGAUAAUACCGGAUGAUGUCGCAAGACCAAAGAUUUAUCGCCCAGGGAUGAGCCCGCGUAGGAUUAGCUAGUUGGUGAGGUAAAGGCUCACCAAGGCGACGAUCCUUAGCUGGUCUGAGAGGAUGAUCAGCCACACUGGGACUGAGACACGGCCCAGACUCCUACGGGAGGCAGCAGUGGGGAAUAUUGGACAAUGGGCGAAAGCCUGAUCCAGCAAUGCCGCGUGAGUGAUGAAGGCCUUAGGGUGUAAAGCUCUUUUACCGGAUGAUAAUGACAGUACCGGAGAAUAAGCUCCGGCUAACUCCGCGCCAGCAAGCCG